rnacentral:rRNA from 1 species
CCAAUAGCGUAUAUUAAAGUUGUUGCAGUUAAAAAGCUCGUAGUUGAAUUUCGGGAUCAAUAUGUUGGUCGUGCCUUGGUACGUACUAGUUUAUUGAUUUCUUCCUUCUGACGAACCAUGAUGUCAUUAAUUUGGUGUCAUGGGGAAUCAGGACUGUUACUUUGAAAAAAUUAGAGUGUUUAAAGCAGGCUCACGCUUGAAUACAUUAGCAUGGAAUAAUGAAAUAGGACGUUUGAUUCUAUUUUUGUUGGUUUCUAGGAUCGACGUAAUGAUUAAUAGGGAUAGUUGGGGGCAUUAGUAUUCAAUUGUCAGAGGUGAAAUUCUUGGAUUUAUUGAAGACUAACUACUGCGAAAGCAUUUGCCAAGGAUGUUUUCAUUAAUCAAGAACGAAAGUUAGGGGAUCGAAGACGAUCAGAUACCGUCGUAGUCUUAACCAUAAACUAUGCCGACUAGGGAUCGGAUGAUGUUAAUUUUUUAAUGACUCAUUCGGCGCCUUACG